AACGAACGCUGGCGGCAUGCCUAACACAUGCAAGUCGAACGAGACCUUCGGGUCUAGUGGCGCACGGGUGCGUAACGCGAGGGAACCUGCCCUUAGGUUCGGAAUAACUCCCCGAAAGGGGUGCUAAUACCGGAUAAUGUCUUCGGACCAAAGAUUUAUCGCCUUUGGCUGGGCCCGCGUUGGAUUAGCUAGUUGGUAGGGUAAAAGCCUACCAAGGCGACGAUCCAUAGCUGGUCUGAGAGGAUGAUCAGCCACACUGGGACUGAGACACGGCCCAGACUCCUACGGGAGGCAGCAGUGGGGAAUAUUGGACAAUGGGCGAAAGCCUGAUCCAGCAAUGCCGCGUGAGUGAGGAAGGCCUUAGGGUUGUAAAGCUCUUUUACCCGGGAUGAUAAUGACAGUACCGGGAGAAUAAGCUCCGGCUAACUCCGUG
rnacentral:rRNA from 1 species